AACGAACGCUGGCGGCAGGCCUAACACAUGCAAGUCGAGCGAAGCCUUCGGGCUUAGCGGCGGACGGGUGAGUAACGCGUGGGAACGUGCCCUUUGGUACGGAAUAGCCCCGGGAAACUGGGAGUAAUACCGUAUGUGGUCGAGAGACGAAAGAUUUAUCGCCAAAGGAGCGGCCCGCGUUGGAUUAGGUGGUUGGGGGGGUAAUGGCCUACCAAGCCGACGCUCCAGAGCUGGUUUGAGAGGAUGAUCAGCCACACUGGGACAGAGACACGGCCCAGACUCCUACGGGAGGCAGCGGUGGGGAAUCUUAGACAAUGGGGGAAACCCUGAUCUAGCCAUGCCGCGUGAUCGAUGAAGGCCUUAGGGUUGUAAAGAUCUUUCAGUGGGGAAGAUAAUGACUGUACCCACAGAAGAAGCCCCGGCUAACUCCGUGCCAGCCGCCGCCGUAAGAC
rnacentral:rRNA from 1 species